rnacentral:lncRNA from 1 species
AAGCACUCCACAAAGACUUUCGUCCAAAGCUUUUCCUGUCUAAGCCUCCAUGGGAACUGGGAAAGCGCUUCAAAGUUUGCAUGACUUGUUUGUCUACAGGCGGAGAGAAAAGCAUCAUUUGCUUGGCAGCCUUUUUCAAGUUUAAUGCUACGUACCUUGGAUGAGAUUUUUGUUCGCGACUUUCAGCCAGUAGGUGAUUUGCGCUGAAAGGAAAACUUCUAGUGUUGAUAUAAAACUAAGAGCUGGAAACUUUGACUUGAUCUACCUGUGUUUGUAACGCCUGUUGCUAGAAUGCACGUCUGAAGCACGGGGUCAGAAUGAGAAAAAAAAGAGAGUAAAACCCACCAUGUCUGUAACGUCGAUCGCAAAAGAUACAGUAGGCAGCACUUCGUUUUCCCGGUUUUGCGGAAACACUUGCAACUUGGGCCGGGACAGUGAAUCGAAUCCAGUUUCUCCUUGAAAGUUUUGUAUCUUCGGGUUUCGCAAGUUGACCCUUUGGCAGCAUCCAAGAAAGUCCAAAGCCUCACCUCCACAGUGUAUUGACUUUGAGCACGUCUUGACCGCAAUCGAAUCAAUUUCUUGGCUGCUGUUCCAGCGAGUGUGUCAACUGUUGGCUUCUUCUAGUCGCUCAAGGCUGGCCCUGACAGGAACACCAACAGUUGUUAAAGCCUCUACCAACACAAGAGAAAAAUAAAAAGUGAAGGAAACAAAUUCAACGUCAAGGACAGUACGCACAGCACAUACUGGCCCUUGAUGCACUGAUUAUGUGUCUGACCUUUGGAUUUGUAUAUGCAUUUUGUGCACGCACCCCUCCGUGUGCUGAGUUCACUUCCUUAAGGCCUGUUUACAUAGUACACGGUCAGUAAAAUUUUAUAAAAAAAUGUCGAAGCGGCGAGUAUAUAAGCGAUGCAUGCUGUUACCUUGAUCAGAAGUCUUCGGCUCGCUCUAGAACAGCUCGACGAGCGAGGUGAUAACGUUGUCAAGGAAGGAGUGAAUUUCUGUAAGAGUGAGAACAAAAGUGAGACGAAUUAUGUCUCAGACACAAGUCGAACGUACCAUCAAAGUCGGGUACGAUGCGGUUGUUGUUGGAUCUGGCUAUG